rnacentral:rRNA from 1 species
UCAGGACGAACGCUGGCGGCGUGCUUAACACAUGCAAGUCGAACGGUAAGGCCCCUUCGGGGGUACACGAGUGGCGAACGGGUGAGUAACACGUGGGUGAUCUGCCUUGCACUUCGGGAUAAGCCUGGGAAACUGGGUCUAAUACCGGAUAGGACUACAUGCUUCAUGGUGUGUGGUGGAAAGUUUUUUCGGUGCGAGAUGAGCCCGCGGCCUAUCAGCUUGUUGGUGGGGUAAUGGCCUACCAAGGCGACGACGGGUAGCCGGCCUGAGAGGGCGACCGGCCACACUGGGACUGAGACACGGCCCAGACUCCUACGGGAGGCAGCAGUGGGGAAUAUUGCACAAUGGGCGGAAGCCUGAUGCAAGCGACGCCGCGUGAGGGAUGACGGCCUUCGGGUUGUAAACCUCUUUCAGCAGGGACGAAGCGCAAGUGACGGUACCUGCAGAAGAAGCACCGGCUAACUACGUGCCAGCAGCCGC